rnacentral:sRNA from 1 species
ACCUUCUGCCAUGAUUGGAAAUUUCCUGAGGUCUCCCCAGAAGCAUAAUCCUGUACAGCCUGCGGAAUUAGAACUCAGCUAAUACAGUUGGUGACAAAGGAGACUCUGCAGGGGAGGAGCCAGGGGAAGAAAAUAUCCCGCCUCAUUCUGCUCCCUCUGAUCUCUGCAUUGACUAAACCUAACUAGAAGCCAGAGGCCAAAGGAAUCUGUCGAUAUACAAGCUAGCUUCCCAGUGGAUGGAGCAGGAUGGAGAAGAGGAAGAACGGGCCUGGAGGGACAAAGAAAGGGUUAAAAGAAAAGGUCCAUCCACAUCGUGGCGCUGGGGAACGAGGGGGACACGUUCCACCAGGACAACCGGCCGUCGGGGCUCAUCCGCACUUACCUGGGGAGAAGCCCUCUGGUCUCCGGGGACGAGAGCAGCUUGUUGCUGAACGCGGCCAGCACGGUCGCGCGUCCGGUGUUCACCGAGUAUCAGGCCAGUGCGUUUGGGAAUGUCAAGCUGGUGGUCCACGACUGUCCCGUCUGGGACAUAUUUGACAGUGAUUGGUACACUUCUCGAA